rnacentral:rRNA from 1 species
AACACGUAUCCAACCUGCCGAUGACUCGGGGAUAGCCUUUCGAAGAAAGAUUAAUACCCGAUAGCAUAGUUCUUCCGCAUGGUAGAACUAUUAAAGAAUUUCGGUCAUCGAUGGGGAUGCGUUCCAUUAGGUUGUUGGCGGGGUAACGGCCCACCAAGCCUUCGAUGGAUAGGGGUUCUGAGAGGAAGGUCCCCCACAUUGGAACUGAGACACGGUCCAAACUCCUACGGGAGGCAGCAUG